AAAUCAGUUAUGGUUCACUAGAUCGUAUUUCCUACACGGAUAACUGUGGUAAUUCUAGAGCUAAUACGUGCAAACAGCUGGUUCCCUUGUGGAGCUAGCGCAGUUAUUAGAACAAAACCAAUCCGGCCUUCGGGUCGGUUAAAAUGGUGACUCUGAAUAACCGAAGCGGAGCGUAUGGUCUCGUACCGACGCCAGAUCUUUCAAGUGACUGCUCUAUCAGCUUGUUGCUAGGUUAUGCUCCUAGCAAGGCUUCAACGGGUAACGGGGUAUCAGGGUCCGAUACCGGAGAGGGAGCCUGAGAAACGGCUACCACAUCCAAGGAAGGCAGCAGGCGCGCAAAUUACCCACUCCCAGCACGGGGAGGUAGUGACGAAAAAUAACGAUGCGAGGGCUUAUUGCUUCUCGUAAUCGGAAUGGGUACACUUUAAAUCCUUUAACGAGGAUCUAUUGGAGGGCAAGUCUGGUGCCAGCAGCCGCGGUAAUUCCAGCUCCAAUAGCGUAUAUUAAAGUUGCUGCGGUUAAAAAGCUCGUAGUUGGAUCUGGGCAGCUGGAUGGGUGGUCAGCUUCACGCUGUACUGCUCGUUCGGCGCCACAAGCCGGUCUUGUCUUGCAUGCUCUUCACUGGGUGUGCUUGGCGACCGGAACGUUUACUUUGAAAAAAUUAGAGUGCUCAAAGCAAGCGUAUGGCUUUGAAUAAUGGUGCAUGGAAUAAUGGAAUAGGACUUCGGUUCUAUUUUGUUGGUUAUCGGAAUCGAGGUAAUGAUUAAUAGGAACAGACGGGGGCAUUCGUAUUCCGGCGUUAGAGGUGAAAUUCUUGGAUCGUCAGAAGACGAACUACUGCGAAAGCAUUUGUCAAGAAUGUUUUCAUUAAUCAAGAACGAAAGUUAGAGGUUC
rnacentral:rRNA from 1 species